rnacentral:rRNA from 1 species
AGAGUUUGAUCAUGGCUCAGAUUGAACGCUGGCGGCAUGCCUUACACAUGCAAGUCGAACGGUAACGGGCCUUCGGGUGCCGACGAGUGGCGAACGGGUGAGUAAUGCAUCGGAACGUACCUUUCAGUGGGGGAUAACGUAGCGAAAGUUACGCUAAUACCGCAUAUUCUGUGAGCAGGAAAGCAGGGGAUCGCAAGACCUUGCGCUGAUUGAGCGGCCGAUGUCAGAUUAGCUAGUUGGUGAGGUAAAGGCUCACCAAGGCGACGAUCUGUAGCGGGUCUGAGAGGAUGAUCCGCCACACUGGAACUGAGACACGGUCCAGACUCCUACGGGAGGCAGCAGUGGGGAAUUUUGGACAAUGGGGGCAACCCUGAUCCAGCCAUGCCGCGUGAGUGAAGAAGGCCUUCGGGUUGUAAAGCUCUUUCGGCCGGGAAGAAAUCGCAUGGGUUAAUACCCUGUGCGGAUGACGGUACCGGCAUAAGAAGCACCGGCUAACUACGUG